rnacentral:lncRNA from 1 species
GCACAACCGAACCCAACACCGGGGCCCAACGGCAGGGGCUUGGGCAGGAGCAAGGUCCGAGGGCUGCCAGGUCCACGCUGCUUUUAUGAGCUGUAACACUCACCGCGAAGAUCUGCAGCUUCACUCCUGAGCCCAGCGAGACCACGAGCCCACCGGGAGGAACAAACAACUCCAGACGCGCUGCCUUAAGAGCUGUAACACUUGCCGUGAAGGUCUGCAGCUUCACUCCUGAGCCAGCGAGACCACGAACCCACCAGAAGGAAGAAACUCCGAACACAUCUCAACAUCAGAACGGACAGACUCCAGACGCACCACCUUAAGAGCUGUAACACUCACCGCGAGGUUCCGCGGCUUCAUUCUUGAAAGCUAUCAGCUUCCCAGUUUGCACAAUUCAUCAAGAAAUUAUGCGGGGUCACUGGCACAAAUGAUGAGGCAUCUCCUGGAAGCUUAACUUCUUAUCCAUCCCAUCUCUUGGACAGAUGAUGCCAGUUAAUUACUUUGAAUGGGUCUGUCACACGCAGCCCAACUCAACUGGAGUCCUGAGAAGGUGAACAGACCAGGAUGGAUGGCCAGGGAACUCACCAGAAGUCCCCAGGCAUCAGAACAAGGUCGAAGCAUCCUGCCAGGUGCUCACCUUCUAGCACAUUCUUCAAGAGUUACUCUGAGGCAAGCCAGCCGCCAUGUCAUGAGGACACUCAAGCAGCACCAUGGAGAGGUCCGAUGGCGAGGAACAGAGGAUCCCCCUGCCGACAGCCAAUGAGGAACAGGCCUCCUGCCAACAGCCGUGUAAGGGGUCACCUUGGAAGCCAAUGGCCCCUCCCUGGUCAGGCUUUUACAUGACUGCAGUCCUGGCCAACAUCCUGACGGCAACCUCAUGAGAGACCUUGAGCCAGAGCCACCCACCUAAGCUGCUUAUAGGUUCCUGGCCCUCAGAAAUCACAUGAGAUCAUAAAUGUUUGCUCAAUUUGAGAUAUUUGUGAUGUAGCAAUAAAUAACAAACACACUUACCUUUCAGGGUUAUUAUGAGAAUUAAGAGUUAAUACACAUCAAACUACAACCAAACUUGCUGGGACCAGAGGCUCAAGAAAGGGCAGACAGGGCCGGGUGCAGUGGCUCAUGCCUGUAAUCCCAAUACUUUGGGAGGCCGAGGCAGGUGGAUCAUCUGAGGUCAGGAGUUCGAGACCAGCUGGCCAACAUGGUGAAACCCUGUGUCUACUAAAAAUACAAAAAUUAGCCAGGCAUGGUGGCGGACACCUGUAAUCCCAGCUACUCGGG